rnacentral:rRNA from 1 species
CCUACGGGGUGCAGCAGUGGGGAAUAUUGCACAAUGGGGGAAACCCUGAUGCAGCGACGCCGCGUGAGUGAAGAAGUAUUUCGGUACGUAAAGCUCUAUCAGCAGGGAAGAAAAUGACGGUACCUGACUAAGAAGCCCCGGCUAACUACGUGCCAGCAGCCGCGGUAAUACGUAGGGGGCAAGCGUUAUCCGGAUUUACUGGGUGUAAAGGGAGCGUAGACGGCAGCGCAAGGCUGGAGUGAAAUCCCAUGGCUUAACCAUGGAACUGCUUUGGAAACUGUGCAGCUAGAGUGCAGGAGAGGUAAGCGGAAUGCCUAGUGUAGCGGUGAAAUGCGUAGAUAUUAGGAAGAACACCAGUGGCGAAGGCGGCUUACUGGACUGUAACUGACGUUGAGGCUCGAAAGCGUGGGGAGCAAACAGGAUUAGAUACCCCUGUAGUC